AGAGUUUGAUCAUGGCUCAGAUUGAACGCUGGCGGCAGGCCUAACACAUGCAAGUCGAGCGGUAGCACAGAGAGCUUGCUCUCGGGUGACGAGCGGCGGACGGGUGAGUAAUGUCUGGGAAACUGCCUGAUGGAGGGGGAUAACUACUGGAAACGGUAGCUAAUACCGCAUAACGUCGCAAGACCAAAGAGGGGGACCUUCGGGCCUCUUGCCAUCAGAUGUGCCCAGAUGGGAUUAGCUAGUAGGUGGGGUAACGGCUCACCUAGGCGACGAUCCCUAGCUGGUCUGAGAGGAUGACCAGCCACACUGGAACUGAGACACGGUCCAGACUCCUACGGGAGGCAGCAGUGGGGAAUAUUGCACAAUGGGCGCAAGCCUGAUGCAGCCAUGCCGCGUGUAUGAAGAAGGCCUUCGGGUUGUAAAGUACUUUCAGCGGGGAGGAAGGUGUUGAGGUUAAUAACCUCAGCAAUUGACGUUACCCGCAGAAGAAGCACCGGCUAACUCCGUGCCAGCAGCCGCGGUAAUACGGAGGGUGCAAGCGUUAAUCGGAAUUACUGGGCGUAAAGCGCACGCAGGCGGUCUGUCAAGUCGGAUGUGAAAUCCCCGGGCUCAACCUGGGAACUGCAUUCGAAACUGGCAGGCUAGAGUCUUGUAGAGGGGGGUAGAAUUCCAGGUGUAGCGGUGAAAUGCGUAGAGAUCUGGAGGAAUACCGGUGGCGAAGGCGGCCCCCUGGACAAAGACUGACGCUCAGGUGCGAAAGCGUGGGGAGCAAACAGGAUUAGAUACCCUGGUAGUCCACGCCGUAAACGAUGUCGACUUGGAGGUUGUGCCCUUGAGGCGUGGCUUCCGGAGCUAACGCGUUAAGUCGACCGCCUGGGGAGUACGGCCGCAAGGUUAAAACUCAAAUGAAUUGACGGGGGCCCGCACAAGCGGUGGAGCAUGUGGUUUAAUUCGAUGCAACGCGAAGAACCUUACCUACUCUUGACAUCCAGAGAACUUUCCAGAGAUGGAUUGGUGCCUUCGGGAACUCUGAGACAGGUGCUGCAUGGCUGUCGUCAGCUCGUGUUGUGAAAUGUUGGGUUAAGUCCCGCAACGAGCGCAACCCUUAUCCUUUGUUGCCAGCGGUUAGGCCGGGAACUCAAAGGAGACUGCCAGUGAUAAACUGGAGGAAGGUGGGGAUGACGUCAAGUCAUCAUGGCCCUUACGAGUAGGGCUACACACGUGCUACAAUGGCGCAUACAAAGAGAAGCGACCUCGCGAGAGCAAGCGGACCUCAUAAAGUGCGUCGUAGUCCGGAUUGGAGUCUGCAACUCGACUCCAUGAAGUCGGAAUCGCUAGUAAUCGUAGAUCAGAAUGCUACGGUGAAUACGUUCCCGGGCCUUGUACACACCGCCCGUCACACCAUGGGAGUGGGUUGCAAAAGAAGUAGGUAGCUUAACCUUCGGGAGGGCGCUUACCACUUUGUGAUUCAUGACUGGGGUGAAGUCGUAACAAGGUAACCGUAGGGGAACCUGCGGUUGGAUCACC
rnacentral:rRNA from 1 species